rnacentral:lncRNA from 1 species
UUACCCUUGCGGGUUCUCCACCGAGACGCUCAUUUUUGCCUAAGCCGCCCUUUCGGGUUUUCAACUUAGCGAGCCAUUCUGUUUUUUUUCAUUCUUCUUUUUUUUCUCAUUUUUGCACAUACUCUUUUUUUUUUUUUAGGCAAAGUAUCUCUUAACUGCAUCUGAAUUCACAGGACGAGUGAAAUCCUCCCCAUCCAUUGUUGUAAGCAUCAAAGCUCCGCCUGAAAAGGCUCUCUUAACAACAUAUGGACCCUCGUAGUUUGGAGUCCACUUGC